CAGAAGUUCCUCGCGGUAGGGCCGGUCGACACAGGUGACGUGCAAGAAAUUGGCGUAGAGAGGCUCGUCAAGCACCUCCAUGUCAUCCCUCUGCGGCAGGACAAGAAACCGAAGCUAUGGCACUGGGCGCCUCUUCCGGAUAUCUUCCUCUGGUAACUGUCUCCGGACGAGUUGGAUCAGACACGCCAAUUAUCGGCCAGCAGAGUGGUCUGGAAGCUGCAAUAGUUAAAAACAAUGUAACACAGAUCUUCUUGAAGAAGGAGAGAAGAAGGAGGAUGUCAAGGAAUACGUGGUGGUAAAGAAGACGAAGGAGGAAGAUGGUACUGAACACUUUCUGGUCAAGAAGAAGAAGAAAAAAUGAUGACGCCGAACAGUGGAUUGAAUGUUCCGAACGGAUAUCUUCUACAAAAAGGGAGGUUCCCUGGCACCUGGUAAUUUGCUGCUACUGCUUGGGAUGUUGAAGCAAAUAGUUUCAUGUGGACUUCCUUUGAACCAGUCAUGCUAUGCUGCUGACUCUUUGUGCAUACUCGAGGAAAAACCUACAAUAUUGAGUGAC